GCGGUGGCGGGGAGCCGGGCCGCCUCAGCGCCGCUCGCCUCGACGGAACCCCCCGACCCGCCGCGGCUCCCGCAGCGCCCGCCCUCCGCCGCUAGAGGCUGCUGCACACCUCGUUAAACCGACGCCCGCACGGCCGUUCGCGGCGGAUCCCGACGGGCUGAGGACUUCGGAGGCUUUGUCUAAGCCUGAGUCACUGAAGACCUUGGGUUCAUGCUGCCAGGCCCUGGCUGCUGGGACUGACAACGUAAAUUCCCGACGAUGUCAGAUCACAUGAUGGCGAAGCCGGUUUGAAGCCCGGGCUCUCAAAGCGACUUCCAGCAGACCAUGACGGGAAUCAAGGUCGUUUACAGCUGACGGGUCGCCGCAAUGAUCGCCGGACACGCGUCCUAACGGCCGGGUUAUUUCCUGAUGGAUAUAUGUGGUAGCUGACCAUUUCUAGCCUGAUCCUGGUUCCAUGCACCGGGCUGUUGGUGGCGGAAGCAGAGGCUGAGCUGCCCCUUCGCGUGGCUCCGCUCCUGCCCUGCUGUGCUCGUGGUUCCCCUGUCUCCAUUGGUUAAUGCCACAGAACUAUGGAGGAGGUUUAAUGAUAAAAAUAAAGAGAGGCCACAAUGAAAGAGGUGAGCUUGGCUCAUCCCUUGGGUAAGCAUGGGGAAGCUGUGAGCUAUGAUGCCCCCCUCGGCUGUAAAGCCCAUCGUGUGCAAGAAGGUCACUGAUGGAUGUCAUGUUAUCCAGAGCCACCUAUUCCUUGCUGGAAGGGAGCAGGAGUGCUGCUGCCCACCCCACGAUGGGCUCUGGGUUGCAAAGCCAAAGCACCCUCCUUCAAUCAGCCUCGCUGCCUCCAGCAUUGCCUGUGUCAUCCCAGCAUCCAGCACUGCCCUCUGCUUCGGUGCUGCCAAACCCCGCACUGCUGAGGUCUUGCUGCAAAGUGCAGUGUGUCAGUGCAGGGCAAUGGCACGUGUCAGAAAGCAGCAAUUCGGAAGGAAUACCAUCCCUGGGAUGCGUCAUCUCCACUGCCUGAUUAAGCUUUGUUUGGGGGCAGGCAGAAAUAUCACGCCGAGCAGAUUGUAACGCUGUGGCUCCUAGACAGGGUAUGGAGGUGCAUUUAUCAGCAGUCAGCAAGAGAGAAAAAAGGGGAGCAUUUGCAGAAUAGUGAGGAGCAAGGUGGUCAAGGGAUGUCUGAGCUGCAGAGCGGGGAAGCUCGGUAGCCCCCAUUUAAGAGCAAUUAAAGACUGCUCGAUUUUCAGUUCAGUGAAAUCCUGACUCUGAGCCCAUUCCCAGCAGCAGAACCUGCCGCCAGCACGGCCCCGCAGGAGGCUGAGCUCCGUGGCCUUGCUUUAUCUCUCCCCACUUCCACGGGGAGCUGGUAUCAGCAGCAGGGGAGCAGGCGGGC